rnacentral:tRNA from 1 species
UCCCUGGCCAUCUAUUGGUUAGGAUUCUGUGCUUCCAAUGCAGAGGGCUCAGGUUCAAUCCCUGUUUGGGGAA